rnacentral:tRNA from 2 species
GGGCGAUUAGCUCAGUUGGUUAGAGCGCCUGCUUCACACGCAGGAGGUCGGCAGUUCGAGCCUGCCAUCGCCCA